GUUUCUUUGGGGGCAGGAGGGGCAGUGCCCUCCCCCCCUGAUUUUUGGGCUAGAAGCAGGGAUUAUAGUUCAAAAAAAUUUUGUUAUUGGCUGCUCUUUUCAAAUUUGGGCUUUGGCCCCUCCCGAUCCCUCACAGACUCCAAAUCUCCAAUAGUCCAAUAUACGAAUUCUCCAAGCGAUUCUUCAAGAAAUCAAAAUCAUUCAUCCAAUUUCCCAAUUCGCUAAAUCGCUUCUCGCUUUCUGUUGUGACCUUUGUUGCUGUCUCGCAUUGUGUCGCACUGUCGUUGUCUCCGCCUGGUCUCACUCUCGAGUCUGAAGUCUCGCCAUCGGCCAUCGCCAUUCGCCAAGUCUUGAAGUCGCCAUUCACAGAAAAUAGAAAAUCAGAAAUCAGAUAUAAUCAUGGGAAAGAUGAAAGCCUUAGAUUAUUUUUACAAAAGAAAGGUAGAUGAUAAAGAAACGAAUUGAUGAAUAUAAAGACAUUAAAGGUCGUUGUGCUGAGUUGUAAUCAUUUUUCUAUGUGUUUUUGGUGUUUAUUUGUUGAAAACAAUUUGUUUUUUUUUUAAGAAUGUUAAUUUCAGUUUAUAAUAUUUUCGGCCCCCCCAAGUUAGUUGUUCAAGCUCCGCCACUGUACCAUAGGGACCAUUUAUGUACUUUGUUCCAGCCGCAAUGACCAUUUAUGUAACGCCAUAUAUUAUUUAUUAUUAUUAUUAGUUAUUUUAUUUGUA